UAUAAACUGGUUGUGUGUAUGUGGAAGGAUAAUUCAUUAUUCAAAUAAGUAGCUGAACUUGACUUUAUCCAAAUCCUCUCUGCAUUUUUUUUAAAGCAAAAUUUGCGCUGAGUGCACUAGGCUGACUCUCCUUUCUCACCGUUUCACUCAAGUUGACCGCAGUACAAGACUGUCCAACGCACUGCUGUGAACUAGUUUAGGAAAUUUACCCGUUGCGCUGCCCGAGCCAGGUGUUUUCCAUUAGCUAAAGUGGCAUGGAUGGAAAAAACGGAAAUAAAGUGGGCAGAUUGACAAGCUAGCAAACGGCGAGCAGCAGGCAGAGACAGAGCAGCCGAGACAAGAUGGCAAGAAAAAAGACGGCAGACAGAAAUCAGAUUUAGAUAAAUGUUUGAACAGA